AUCUUUUUUAUGUUAGUGAAGUUUACCGCAAGUUUUACACCUCCUAGCUGUCAACAGUUCAUGUUGCAGUCGUGUAGAAAGUGUCAAAAUGGUUUGCCAAUCCAUACGCAAUUAUGUUUCAAACAAAGUUGUUAGGGAAGUAUAUUGUUUGGUCUUGUUUGCUAGCAAGACGGUCUUACUGCAAUUAUUCAUUUUAUAUCUUGUGUUAUUUGUUACUGUGUGUGCCUUUCCGAAGUAAAGGAAACAGUUGUGACAGUGCCAUGUUCUACUAAUGUUGCUUACAUUUUAUAUUGACGUAUUCAUAGUAGGAAAACUUUCUCACCCUCUCCCUACACGAUGUUGUCUCUCAUUUCUUCUCAUAAAUUAAUUUUUAUUUGCAUCUAGGGUUUCGAUGUCCAGAAGAUUCUUACACGGUCGCCAUUGGCGUUCAUGGUGCUCAUGGAUGAUGCAACCCUGCUCCUCGCCAUGCCUAGGAGAGGGUGUUGACAAGUUGAGCCCUCAAUUGUUGGAUGUUACUACCAAAAUUGAUCCAUGUAGAGCACCACCUGCAGGAGUUUUCUUAUAUAAUGACCCACAAGUACUUCUUAGGCAGUAUGAUCUAUGAGCUGGAUGGAAAAUCUGAUGUAAGAGUACUAUCAAUUUGCAUACCUAAUUAUUUCCAUGCAUACUGCACUUUCUACCCCUAAAUGUCUGACUGUUAUUGAGAGGAAUGGAUAAGUAGUAGAGGGCCGAUAUGGGUGUUCUUGUUUAAAUUUAUCUUCAGUUCUUCACAUGUAUUGUUAUAUUUUCCUCUAAAAAUGAUUAUAUGUGUUUGGUCUAACUAUUAUGAAAUUGCUUCCACGUAUCAGAUCUGUUGAGAAGUUGUGAGAUUUCCAAGAUGAGUGAAGACUUGGAUAAAUGGGAUGUUUUAAUUCUUUUUACUGAGAGAGAUAGAGGCUAAGAAUAGCACUGUUGCAUAUAUUAUUGUUUAUAUUCUGGUCUAAGAAUAGCACAUCUUCAUUAACAAUUCUCCAUCUGCACAUCUUCACUAAGCCAUUUUGUCGAUGAAGCUCAGCUAGACCAACAUGUAUCUUUAGUCAGGUGCCCAAAUCAAUA